rnacentral:lncRNA from 1 species
CCGAAUUUUCCCUUUAAUUUAUAUCAAAAAUCCCUUCUCACAAAUAAAAAUCAGAAAAAUGGAGACCUGGGACAAAAUCUUCAUCCUACGGUUCCCAUUUCUCCAAGAUUUAUUCAAAGGUCUUGGAUUUGUUUCCAAAUCGAACAAAGAAGAAAGAAAGAUAUGUUCUUCAUGAUUAAGGACACGUGGAAGAAGGAGAGGGGAGUAGAGGGGGUGACCAUUGGGGGACCAUGUGACGAGUUUGGGUGAGUGACUCAUCCAAUUCCGGCGAGUCUUGAUCGGCAUAGGCUAGGCAGAGGCGGCUGGAACUUGGUG